UGGAAGUAAAAAGUCGUAACAAGGUCUCCGUUGGUGAACCAGCGGAGGGAUCAUUA
rnacentral:rRNA from 23 species